UCGCUUUGGCAGCACAUAUACUAAAAUUAGAUCAAUACAGGAAGAUUAGCAAGGCUCCUGCGCAAGGAUGACACACAAAUUCAUGAAGUGUUCCAUGCUUUU
rnacentral:snRNA from 1 species